GUGAAAAAAGUCUGAUAAACAUUUGCUUCUUACUAUCAUUGAUCUUGCUGACAGAGUUUGUUAAUUGGCUUCCGCUUUUAGAACAUGUCUUCACAUCUGAACUGAAGAUUGAUUUUUUUCUUUUUUGAAGAGGAAGUCCUGCCAAAAGCAGUAACGUCAAGAGAACUUGUAUAUGGAGUUGAUAAUUAUAUUUUCUCUCUCAUAUAUUUUGAGUGUUUGGUUGAAAGAUAUAUGUAUCUUGAAGCUUUAACUUCAGUGCUUGUCAACAGUUUCCAGAAAUUUUUAGUAUCCUUGUUGUUAUGAUACCGUCAUAUUAAACCUUACGAUGAGUAGAUGACUACACCCUGUCUGUAACUGGGACUGAAGUUAGAUAUAGACACGAUGAAGUAUUUAUUUUUGUUAUGUCCAUGCUGUUGUCAAGCACCUUGAUGAUUAUGAACAGUUGCUUCUGCUAAAGAUCACUUUGAUAGUUUUGCUUGUUCUUCUUUAUCGUUUUUUUAAUUAAAAACAUAUUUAUACCCUAAACAAGGUGAUAAGGAGAAAGAGCAACCCUAAACAGGUUGAUAAGGAGAAAGUGCAUUUGCGCCGAACAAUCAGCUCCAAAAAAGAUGAGUACUUCUUGGAUGGCAAGCAUAUUACGUGAGUCAAUUCUCUUAAUGUAUUCGUACCAGAAGUUACACUCACCUAUGGAAAUACUGAUUGAUACUAGAAAUUUAAUAUUGGUAGGAAAACAGAAGUUAUGAACUUGUUGGAAAGUGCUGGUUUCUCUCGCUCAAACCCAUAUUACGUCGUGCAACAAGGAAAGGUAUUGCAUGAUUAUAUAGAAUCUCUUGACCUUCUUGACCUUUAUUUAGAGAACAAUAUACUUCUGCUUCUUAUGUUUACGUUGCAUCUUUGUUUUCCCGUAUUGUUUCACAGAUUGCAUCAUUAACCUUAAUGAAAGAUUCUGAGCGUCUGGAUUUGCUGAAGGAAAUUGGCGGUACUCGAGUUUAUGAGGAGAGACGUCGUGAAAGCUUGAAAAUAAUGCAAGAAACAGGCAAGUACAACUUUAGCUGGUGUUGAGAUACGGCAAAAUAGUUAUUAUUAUUAUUUGUUCCUUUUCUAGCAUGUCUUGAUUAGGAAGUUAUUACCUAUAGAUAUAGUAAUAGAGUCCAGUAAGGACAUUCCUUUCUUGCAUAGGAAGUUAGUAUUAUUCUAUUAAGGGUAGUAGUCUUUUUCUAUAAGUACUUGGACUCUAGUAGUCUUUUCCUACAAGGACUUGGACUCUAACCCUAGUUGUACAGCUCUAUCAUUCAAGAUCAAUAAGAACAAGAGGAUUAUUACCUCAUAUUUUGUCAGCUGGUUGUUCCUUUUGCUCUUUCAAUGAUCUCAUAUGUUGAUGUUUGUUAUUCAGGAAACAAGAGAAAGCAAAUAAUCCAAGUUGUUCAAUACUUGGAUGAUCGCCUAAGGGAGCUGGAUGCAGAAAAAGAAGAGUUAAGGAAGUACCAACAGCUUGACAAGCAGCGUAAAUCUCUAGAAUAUACGAUUUACGAUAAAGAACUUCAAGAUGCUCGGCAGAAACUGACAGAGGUCAGUAUCAUUUAGACAGUUAGGCAUGAACAUAGGUUCCAGCUUCUGUUGAUCACAAUGAAGCGGAUGAAGUAUGAUGAGUAUGGCUUACUUGGUUUUGUGGUGAAUCUUAUAGCUGCUUUAGCGGCCUCUUCGAAUUUCUGCAUAUAUAAUAUUGUUGUCCGGCAACAAUGAUAGAUGCUUUCUCUGUAGAAUGCACUGUCAUACACAUUACACUUUCUUGUUGGUAUGCAAUAUCUGGGUAUCUCAUUUGUCACUCUUUCCUUAGGAUAUGUAAGGUCUGGUGGAUUAAUCUUUUGAGGGAUGUUAAAAUAGGGAGUUGGACUCUGCGUAUAUCUCCUCACUGUUACCAUACUUCAAGCGAUUCCUUCUUGGAGCAUUUACGAUUUUCACAUCAGGUGUAGCUAAGGUAGCUUUUGUUUCGCAUGCCUGCUCCGUACUAUUAAACACACAAGAAAUUAAUAAAUGCUGUGACGUGUAAACCCUAUCUGUAGUUGUAACUUACUGAGAGGUGUUUCAUGCCACGCUGGGUUUGCUGAAGUUGAAAACAUGAUGACUUCCCUACUGCAAAGUUUAUAGCUAUUUGUGUUUCCUAUUUCAUCUCUUCAUGCAUGCUUGUUUCAAUAUUCUCUUGCUAACGCAACGUCCAAAGCAUAAUUUGCUUUAUGGGUGGUUGCUAAUUUUCUUUUCGGGGCUGAUUCAGGUUGAGUUGGCUCGAAACAAGGUUUCAGAAAAUUCCUCUAAGAUGCACCAAGAUGUUCUGGAUGCCCAUGAGAGGUGCAAGGAGAUCCACACAACACGGAAAGAUCUGGCAAAAGAACUCCAAGUUUUGAACAAAGAGAGGGAAGAUGUGGAGAAGCGACACACUCAAGCAAUGAAGAUACAUACAGAACUUGAGCUGGAUGUGAAAGAUAUGCAGGAGAGGAUGACUGGAGCUAGCCAAGCCAAAGUACAAGAUGUAUUUUUGAACUAUUUGGAGUUUAAGCAACGUUACAUAUGCAAGACAUAAUGUUCCUUUUGCAGGAUGAUGCAGCUCACCAGCUAAAAUUUGUCGAGAAAGAAAUUCAAGAUUCAUUGGACGAGCUGGAGAGGACUAGCCCACUGUAUGAGAAACAAGUGCUAAGGGAAAAGAAGAAAACUAAAGAGUAUAAUCUUUGCACAUAUUUUCUCGUUGUUUGUUCGUUGGCCGUAAUAUUAAUAUUCGCUGCCAAAUAUCCACUAUCUGGAGUUGUGGAGCUCUAAAAGUUAUUAUUUUCGCUUCAUUUUCCUAUUUAUUUUUUGUGUAGUCCUCGGACACUCUAAGUAUCACAUAAUUCAUGCAAACCUUUUUUCUACGUGUCACCGAUUGCUUUCUUUGGUCGGUUUAGGAUAAUGGAGCGUGAAAAGGAGCUUAGCAUACUUUAUCAAAAGCAAGGUCGAGCCACUCAAUUUGCCUCCAAAGCUGAGCGAGACAAAUGGCUUCAGAAGGAAAUUAACGACUUGCAACGCGUUAUUUCCUCCAAUGAGGCCCAGGCAUGUUUUUAGGAAUUUCAGAAGAGUUGGUAUUUGAAUAUUUUCUUCUGAAUAGAGCUUUGUGUAAAAAAGAUACAUAUAGUAGGAUCUGCUCUAUAAAGAAGGGAAAUGAAAAUAGUAAUUGCAAGAAACAUAUGAUCCCUUCCACAGCUUUAGUACGUGUACAACCAAGUAAAACUGAGAUUUCACUGAUACUGAACUACUGAUGAAGGGAGAUCUUAGAACAUGAGAUGUCAUGCUGUCAUCAUCUUAAUGCAUGUGCAUGAAAAUUUCUUCAUCUGAUUUUGUGCUUAAGUCAUCUUCUACAUCUGGUGUAGGAUGAUAAGCUUCAACAAGAGAUUAAUAGGAUUGACGCUGACUUAGAAAAGCAAAAUAAUUAUAUCGAGACUCGGAAGGCUGAGAUGGAAAGCAAACAAUUUCUCAUCUCUCAGUCACGGAAAGGAUUCACCAAUCACAAAGCUCAGAGAGAUAAGCUGCAAGAUGAACGAAAGUAUGUUUGCUCUUUUUGUGAACUUGUCUGGCCUCUUCAAAUUGCUUGAAUAUAAGAUGUCGAACUUUUCAGGGGAUUGUGGGAGAAGGAAAGUGCACUUGAUGCUGAAAUUGAUAAGCUGAAGACCGAACUUGAGAAAGCUAAGAAGAGUCUUGAUCAUGCAACUCCUGGUGUGAGUAUCCAUUCGAGGUUCUCAUUAGAUCGUAGUUCUGUGCAUGCCAUAAAAGAUUUUUGUAAUCAUCAAUUUAUAUGUGUUCCGUUGCAAAUAAACUGUUCUGCUCUUAUGUGGCUUCGACAUUGUGUUGGUUUAAAGUAUUCAUGAGUCAUGACCAUCAGUCUUGCGCGAGCUUCUUUCUUGGGCCUGCUUAUGCUAUUAUUAGACCAUGUGCAUGUUUUCUUUCUUGACGUGUAAGAAGAUUAAUAUUUGUGCAUUUCAAUUCCAUUGUUGCUGAGUUUCUGAGCUCUUGAAACGGUUUUCCUUGAACUGCAUUCCGAUUUCUUUAUCAAAUCAUGCUAACCAUGCUUGAUAUUUUAACUCGAGUCCGCAUAAAAGUCCGGUACCUACAUAUCCAUAUGAUAAAACUAUCUGCUAUGCAUGCUAGGAUUUCCAUCUGCCAGUGACACCUUGAUCAGUAUUUUUUUCUUGAAUUUUUGCGAAAGCUGUUAAUGAAAUGAAAAAUUUAUAGACAGUUAACUGGCUAUCUGAUGUGCUGUUUCAUUUUGGUGCCUCUCGUGCUUUGAUGUCAGGACGUGAGGAGAGGACUUAAUUCCAUGCGGCGUAUCUGUAAAGAACAUGGCAUCACUGGAGUUUUUGGGCCAAUUAUAGAGUUGCUUGAUUGUGAUGAAAAGUUUUUUACGGCUGUGGAAGUUACUGCUGGAAAUAGGUAACAAGCGGCGUUCUAGAGCAUUGAGUAAUAAAUCUGCUGGGGUUGUGGUUUAUUUAAAAUUGCAUAUUCAUCGUUGGUCUAAGUGAGUCGCUGAAUUGUACUUUUCGGGUUUUAUUAUUUGUGCAGCCUUUUUCAUGUGGUGGUUAAGGAUGAUGUGGUUUCAACUCAAAUUAUUAGACAGCUUAAUGCACAGAAGGGUGGACGAGUCACAUUUAUACCUCUGAAUAGGGUGAAGGCUCCAAGAGUGAACUAUCCAACUAACUCUGAUGAUGUGGUGCCUUUAAAAAAGAAGUUGAAGUUCAAGGAAGUUUUUGACGCUGCAUUUCAACAGGUGAGGUUCAGAUGCACUUCAUUUAUCAGGGAAUGAUUGUAUUGGAUCCUAGUUUUAGAAGGAGAAAAAAUGUUUACCUAGUGUUUUUGUGGUCAAAACAGUGCAAUUGUUCCCUAAGCCCUGAAUUUGUCUGUGGUCAGUAAUUAUAUAUGGCUGUACUGAUUGCUGCUAGCAAAAACGGUAUGGCUGCGCGGAUGGGUACUAGACAAAGGGCACUUCUUGUUUAUGUAGAUAAUAUUUAAUUAUUUUUGAAAAUGACCUUUAUAUGACUUCCGACUUCUGUGUUCUAGCUUAAUAUAAUGCAACACGUGAUAAGCAGCUUAGUUUUUUUACCUACUUCCAUUCACCAAAGUGUUCUACUGAAACAAGUUAGUAAACAGCGUUUAAACUGAAGCCAGUAAGAAAUGUUAUUAUUCUCCUUUGUGCACGUGGGGUUGUUGACUGCACUGGCUUUGUUUGGCCUGCAGUUGACUGGCUACAGGUAGGCUUAUGGUUUCUCGGGUCUUCAGGAACCAGUUAUUUCUUUCAUUCGUUUUGGCUGAAUGAAGACCAGAGAAUUUUGUGGCUGAAGAUUGAGAGAAUGAAUUACUUUUAUUCAUGUCUCGUAGGUUUAUUAUAUACAGCAUUCCUCCUACUGACUAGGUAAGAAAAUAUCUACUCUAACUAUUUAAUAGGAUCUGCUAGCUAAACUAGGAUAGGACUAGAACUAACAUGGUAACUAUCUAACUAGCAAAUAAACUAAUAAGAUCUGACUGUAUACAAAUAAGGAACGGGAUUUCCUCACUCCCCCUCAAGCUUGGUGUAGAUGUUGUACAAACCCAGCUUGGACUUGAAAUGAUCUGACUGUUCUCGUGGAAGUGCUUUUGUGAGUAUGUCCGCGGUCUGCUGUUUGGACUGGACAUAUCUCACAUCCACAACUCCCCUUUCCACCUUCUCAGUGAUAAAAUGCCUGUCUAUCUCGACAUGUUUAGUCCUGUCGUGAUGUACAGGGUUCUUAACAAUGCUUAAGGCUGACUGGCUAUCACUGUAUAGUGUAGCUCUCCCGUGUCCUGGUAACUCUAGUUCCUUUAGAACUCGCUGUAUCCACAUAACUUCCUGAAUCCCGAGAGCAAGUGCUCGGUAUUCUGCUUCUGCACUGCUUCGUGCAACCACUGAUUGCUUCUUACUUCUCCACGUUACUAAAUUUCCCCAUACAUAAGAGCAGUAACCUGUGGUCGAUCUCCUCGUUGUAAUUUCACUGGCCCAGCUUGCAUCAGUGUAUAUUUCCACUGACCUGCUCUCAUUCUUCUUGAACAUCAGCCCCAAUCCUGGGGUUUUCUUUAGGUAUCUAAGAAUAUAGUUUACAGCAUCCAUGUGCUCACUCUUUGGUUCAUUCAUGAACUGGCUAACCACACUCACAGCAAAAGCUAUGUCGGGUCGCGUGUGUGCCAGGUAUAUCAGCUUUCCUACCAGCUGUUGGUAUCUUCCCUUGUCUGCUUUUUCCCCGUUUUCUUCUACACUGAACUUCAGAUUUGACUGCAUUGGGGUAUCUGCCGGUUUGCACCCUGUCAUACCGGUUUCCUCUAGCAAAUCUAGGAUAUACUUUCUCUGGGAUAUAGAAAGUCCUUUGCUCGAUCUGGCCACCUCCAUUCCGAGGAAAUAUUUCAUUUCUCCCAGAUCUUUCAGCUCAAACUCAGUUCCCAGUUUGAUCUUCAACCUUGAGAUCUCCUCAUUGUCAUUUCCCGUAAUUAUAAUGUCAUCAACGUAGACAAUCAAGAUGGCUAUCUUGUUCCCAGCUCCAUGCUUCACGAACAUUGUGUCAUCUGUUUGACACUGAUGGUAGCCAUUAGAUGUUAUAGUUGCUGAAAAUUUUCCAAACCAAGCUCUAGGAGACUGUUUUAGUCCGUACAGGGACUUCUCCAGCUUGCACACCUUUCUGCCGGUUUUAAGAUGAGGCACCCCUUCUGGAAUUUCCAUAUAAACUUCCUCUGUUAAUGCUCCAUUUAGGAAUGCAUUUUUGACGUCCAUUUGAUAUAGGGGCCAGUCUUCAUUUACUGCCACUGACAGUAGAAUCCGAACGGUGUUGAGUUUUGCUACCGGGGCAAACGUUUCCUGGUAGUCAAUCCCAUAUGUUUGUGUAAAUCCUCGUGCUACGAGCCUAGCCUUGUGUCUCUCCACACUGCCAUCUGCCCUGUACUUUAUUGUAAACAGCCAUUUGUAGUCUACUGUUUGUUUUCCUGGUGGUAGGUCAACAAUCCUCCAGGUUUCAUUGCUUUGUAACGCCCUUAUCUCUUCCAAAACUGCCUGUCUCCACUCAGGUAUUCUCAUGGCCUCCUCUAUGUUGCGAGGUUUGGUAUCCAAGUGUACAGUAAACGCCCUAAAUUCAGGGCUUAGGCGGCCAUAGUGAACGUACCGUUGUAUCGGAUGACGAGUGCAUUCUCGCACACCCUUUCUCAAUGCAAUAGGCUCACUGAAUAGGGUUUCCUGUUGCACUUCUUCUUCAGCGAUAUCAGCACUCUCAGAUUCACUAUGAGUGUCCAUCCCUUCACUGUUUCUUCCAGUUUCUGGUUCAGGCUCUAUAUUAGGCUCAAGUCUCUGUCUCCGCUGGUAAACAUGUUGAAUUGGUGGUCUGCUCGUCUCUGGAGCAGGUUCUGGUUCUCCAACUAUGCCCGUAGGAAUGGGAGGCAUAGUUAGUCCAUCCAAAGCAAUUAAAUUUUUCAGAUCUAGAGCUUCUUCUGCUUCUGCCACUGUUGGCUGUGACUGUGUCACACCCUGAAGCUCUAAAGUGGUGUAAUAUGCGAAGGUUUCAAAAAAUGUCACAUCCAUGGUCACCACAACUUUCCUGGUGAUAGGGGAGUAACAUUUAUACCCUUUCUGCCGAGGAGAAUAGCCAAUGAACACACACCUCUGUGCUCGAGGAUCCAGCUUGGUCCUUUGAUGCUGCUGGAUGUGAGUGAAGGCAAGGCAUCCAAAAACCUUAGGUUCCAAUUCAGACAUAUACGCACGUACAUGCGGGUAUGUUUUCAUCAAUACAUCUUUAGGUGUUUGAUAGUUGAGGAUGCGACUUGGUAACCUAUUGAUCAAGUAGGUUGCUGUUAAAACAGCCUCCCCCCAAAGGUACUUUGGAACCUGUUUUGUGAAGAGCAAUGCUCGUGCUGUCUCGAGGAGAUGUCGAUUCUUGCGCUCAGCAAUUCCGUUUUGCUGAGGUGUGUCCACACAUGAACUGCAGUGAACAAUGCCAUGGAGAGAUAAGUAUGACCCUAGGACUGUAUUGAAGUAGUCGUGGGCAUUAUCGGUUUUGAGAACCUGUAUAUGGGUUCCAAACUGAUUGAGUAUCAUGUGAUGAAAUUCCUGAAACAUGGUCGUGGUUUCUGACUUUUCCUUCAUUAGGAACGUCCAUGUUAGUCUUGUAUGGUCGUCUAUGAAAGUAAGGAACCAUCGUGCCCCGUUGAUGUUCUUGACUCGAGUAGGGCCCCAGAUGUCACUAUGGAUAAUGGCAAACGGCUUCGUAGGUUUAUAACUCAUUCCUGGAUAGCUACUAUGAGUGUGUUUAGCUAGUUGACACACUUCGCAUUGCAAAUCCUUGGAACUUUUAUUGAGAAAUAACCUAGGUAACAAUUUUUCCAAAUAUCCGAAACUAGGAUGCCCCAAUCGGCUAUGCCAUAACAUGAUCUGGCUAUCACGAUUAUUCGUGCUAUUACUAGUAACCAACGCUCUACUUUGCCCCCCAAGUCCUUCACCACCAGCAGCUCCGUUCAUGAUGUAAAGAUCGUCAUGUAACUCAGCAGUUCCAAUCGUCUUCCCUGAGCUUUCUUCCUGCAGGNNNNNNNNNNNNNNNNNNNNNNNNNNNNNNNNNNNNNNNNNNNNNNNNNNNNNNNNNNNNNNNNNNNNNNNNNNNNNNNNNNNNNNNNNNNNNNNNNNNNNNNNNNNNNNNNNNNNNNNNNNNNNNNNNNNNNNNNNNNNNNNNNNNNNNNNNNNNNNNNNNNNNNNNNNNNNNNNNNNNNNNNNNNNNNNNNNNNNNNNNNNNNNNNNNNNNNNNNNNNNNNNNNNNNNNNNNNNNNNNNNNNNNNNNNNNNNNNNNNNNNNNNNNNNNNNNNNNNNNNNNNNNNNNNNNNNNNNNNNNNNNNNNNNNAGUAGUUGUCUUCUUCCUCUUCUCCUUUUGUUGAGUUCUGCACCUGCUUGUUGUUGCGGUAUUGAUUGCGCACAGCAAGGGCUGAACUUUCAACUUGAGGGGUAGGAGGAGUUUUCGCUGGAACAACCAUGAGAUCUCUUCGAUGUUCUUCCCCAAAUAUGGCAGCAAACGCUUCCGUGAGACUAGGGAAGGGCUUGGUACUCAUGAUUUGGCUCUUUAUGCUGUCCAGAUCCUGGUUUAACCCUAGAAGAAAAGACAGGGUUCUUUUCUUCUCAAUAUACAUCCUGAAUCGUAGCUGAUCUUCAGGGGUAUCCCAUUCCUGUGCAUCAUACGUAUCCAGGUGUAGCCAGUGAUGUCCAAGAGUAUUGUAGUACUCUGUGACGUCCAUAUCUCCUUGCUGGAGAUGGAACAGCUGCUGUUCGAUCUUGAACAUGGCAGACGAGUUGUCAAUUGUUGAGUAUGUAUUUCUGGCAGCAUCCCAGAUGGCCUUGGCAGUCGGGUGAAGGAUAUAAUUCUCCCCGAUGUUUGGCUUCAUGGAGUUGAUCAGCCAGGUACGGACCAAACUGUCAUGCUCAUUCCAGGUUUGGAAUUUUGGAUCUGUCUCGUCUGGAGCUUUGAUUUUUCCAGUGAGAUAUCCUCCUUUUCCUCUUCCUGUGAUAUGCAUCUCUACGGUCUUAGACCACUUGAGAUAAUUUUUGCCAUCCAGCCUGUGUGUGGUGAGGAAGCUUGAGUAAUCCGUCGUCGCUGCUGGUGCCACGGAGUUCGCGAUCUCUCCAGCAGUAUCGGAUCCGUUUGAAGCUCCGUCUGUCACCAUGGCUUAGGAUUGCAGCGGAAUUGUUUUAGGUCAGGUACAGAGUAGGCUCUGAUACCAUGAAGAUUGAGAGAAUGAAUUACUUUUAUUCAUGUCUCGUAGGUUUAUUAUAUACAGCAUUCCUCCUACUGACUAGGUAAGAAAAUAUCUACUCUAACUAUUUAAUAGGAUCUGCUAGCUAAACUAGGAUAGGACUAGAACUAACAUGGUAACUAUCUAACUAGCAAAUAAACUAAUAAGAUCUGACUGUAUACAAAUAAGGAACGGGAUUUCCUCAGUGGCUGAUAAUUGCUUGCAUAUUUUUUAACAGCUUUAUUUGUCUACUUCGUAAGGAACUUGUGAGUACUACUGUACCAUAGGUGAUCCUGGCCAGAACUGGCUUGUGUUGUCUUGAAAUUUUGGCUCUUGGUUGGUUCUUGUUUGUAUUUUUAGACUGCUACUUUUUCUUGUAGGUAUUUGGUAGAACAGUGAUCUGCAGAGAUCUAGAUGUUGCCACAAGAAUUGCUAGAACUGAUGUUCUGGACUGCAUUACAUUGGAAGGUUUGAUAUUUGAUUUACGCCACUAGUCUUCAAUUGUUUUCUUGAUGUAUAUAUCUAACUCGGUCAAUGUUCCUGGUAGUUGCUAACCGUAGAACUUGAACCUAGUUUGAGUCAAUAUUGCCAUCCACCUUUGUCCUAGUCAGCCCUUUUGAGGUGCAUGUCUGUACCUUAACCAAGGAUUCUUCAUCAGGUGAUCAAGUAAGCAAGAAAGGUGGCAUGACUGGGGGAUUUUAUGACUACCGUCGCUCAAAACUGAAGUUUAUGACCGUUAUCAUCCAGAGUCAGAAUUUGAUAAAAGUGAAAGAGGGUGAGCUGAGAGAUGUUAAGUACGCUCUUGAAGAUAUCCUUUGUCAUACUUAUGUAAAUUCUGUGGUUAUUUUGAUGCCUGUCGUACUCAAUAUUUGUUUCAGUAAUGUGAUUUCAAACCAUGCUUUCACUUUCACAAUCUCGCAUCCAUGUCCUGCUGUGCUCCUGUGUCCCCCUCUUUGCAAAUAGAGACCUUAUUCACAAUUUUGAUUCAGUCAUAUGUGGUCAUUAGAGGUUGCUUUCACGUCAUAAGCUGACUUCUAGUCUCGAGAUGAAUCAACAGUGCUAAAAUUUGAGUCAUUUGUCCUGUUUGUACUUAACUAGUCCUACGUGUAGAGCGGAAAAUCACUGAGCUUGUAACAGAGCAACAGAAAACUGAUGCUCAGCAUGGGCAUGAUAAAUCAGAAGUUGAGCAGCUUAAACAGGAUAUUGCGAAUGCUAAUAAGCAGAAAGAGCUAUAUUCUAAAGCCCGGGACAUGAAGGUGCUCGUAGACAUUUGGGUCCUUUAUGGAAAAGCAAUGACUUUCUUGUAUUAUCUCACCGUUUUUUACCAUCCUGCUGCAGGAAAAAUCAAUUGCUGAUGUGCGGACUCAAAUAGAUCAGCUUAAAGCCAGUAUGGCUGUGAAAGAGGCUGAGAUGGGUACAGAACUCAUUGAUCACUUAACACCAGAUGAAAAAGAGCGAUUAUCAGAAUUGAACCCCGAGAUAAGCAAACUGAAGCAGGAGCUUAUAACGUGCCGAACAGAGCGUGUUGACGUAUGAAUAUUUUUAUGGCUUUUAGAGUUAAGAAUGUGAUAGUUUUAAUGUUUGCCUUACAUGUACUUUUUUUUACUUGUAGACUGAAACGAGAAAAGCAGAAUUGGAGACAAAUCUUACAACCAACCUCAAAAGGAGAAGGCAAGAACUAGAAGCCAUAAUAUCCUCUCCAGAAGAUGAUGCGCUGCAUAGUGAUGCUGAAUUGAAGGCACAAGAAUUACAGGAUGCUAAAUCACGAGUUGAAGUUGCAAAACAAGACCUUCAAAGUGAGGGUUCCUUCUCUUCUGACCUUUUCCUUGUGCAGUUUGUGCCUACUGUAGAAAUCCAGAAUAAUGAUGAUUCUGGUAUGUUGUUAUUUCUGUAUAUGAUUGAUUAUACAUAUAUAUAUACAAGGUCUGCACCAUUAGGGUGCAGAUUCACCUUAUUGUAAUCCCUACAAAUCAGGGAUUACACUACCUACUACUUACUACUAUUAUUCUGCAUAGAUUAGUCUAGAAGGAUCNNNNNNNNNNNNNNNNNNNNNNNNNNNNNNNNNNNNNNNNNNNNNNNNNNNNNNNNNNNNNNNNNNNNNNNNNNNNNNNNNNNNNNNNNNNNNNNNNNNNNNNNNNNNNNNNNNNNNNNNNNNNNNNNNNNNNNNNNNNNNNNNNNNNNNNNNNNNNNNNNNNNNNNNNNNNNNNNNNNNNNNCUAACAGGACCCUCAUCCUCCAUCUUGAGUUCCCUUAGAAUGCGCCUUAGCCAAACUCCUUCACAAAUCCCAUCUGCCAGUGCCCUAUACUCUGCUUCAGCACUGCUUCUUGAGACCACAGUCUGUUUCUUACUCCGCCAGGUCACUAAGUUCCCCCAUACAUAGGUGCAAUACGCUGAGGUUGACCUUCGAUCUGUAAGGUCUCCAGCCCAACUCGCAUCCGUGUAUAUAGAAAUUCUGCGGCCAGAGUGUUUUUGGAUUAGCAGUCCAACACCUGGUGUGCUUUUUAAAUAUCUCAAAAUCCUCAUCACUGCCUCCAUAUGUUCUUCAUUUGGAUUGUGCAUAUGUUGACUCACGAUGCUCACUGAAAAUGAGGUGUCUGGACGUGUGUGUGCUAAGUAUAUUGGCUUUCCUAUCAAUUUUUGGUAACUCCCCCUUUCUACUGGCGCUGCUUCUUGGCCAAGAUCAAACUUCAGAUUGUGUUCCAUUGGUGUGCUAGCAGGUUUGCACCCAAUCAUCCCAGUCUCCUUUAGCAAGUCUAAGACGUAUUUCCGUUGGGACAAACUCAGUCCCUUACUAGUCCGUGCCACUUCAAUUCCUAGGAAAUACCUCAAAUUUCCUAGGUCUUUUAUCUCGAAUUCCAGUGCCAGUUUCUCCUUGAGCUUUCUGAUUUCCUUCUCAUCAUCCCCUGUGAUGAUAAUGUCAUCAACAUAUGCAAUAAGAAUGGCCUUUCUUCCUUCCUGAUUUUGUUUUAUAAACAUAGUAUGAUCAGUUUGGCACUGAUAAUACCCGUAUCCUUUCACUGAUUUUGAGAACCUCUCAAACCAUGCUCGUGGUGAUUGCUUGAGGCCAUACAGUGCCUUCCUCAGUCUGCACACCAUUCCCGGUUCAGUGGUGACGCCUGCCGGGACACUCAUAUACACCUCCUCACUUAAAUCUCCGUUUAGGAAAGCAUUCUUCACAUCUAGUUGGUAUAGAGGCCAAUCUAGAUUCACUGCAAUGCUUAGAAGAACUCUCACAGUUUUCAGUUUGGCUACUAGAGCAAAUGUCUCCUCGUAGUCCACUCCAUAGCACUGUGUAAAUCCUCUGGCUACAAGACGAGCCUUAUAUCUCUCAAUUUUUUCUUCUGAGGUAUACUUCACUGUGAAUAUCCACUUGCAAUCAACCGUGGAUUUCCCUGCUGGCAGCCUUACUGUAUCCCAUGUCUUAUUUUUCAGGAGUGCAUUUAUCUCUUCCAAUACUGUUGCCCUCCAGUGAGGUAUACUCAUAGCUUCUUCAAUAGAGUGAGGAAUUUCUGUGUUAUCGAGAGUCCCCACGAAAGCCUUGUAUUUCUUGCUUAGAUUACCAUAUGAAACCCAUCUCUCAAUAGGAUGAGUAGUACAAGAUCUAGUUCCCUUCCUGUGUGCAAUUGGAAGGUAGACUGUAUCAUCCACCCCAAUCUCUUCUACACCAGCGUCCUGGAUUUCCUCUGUCUGGUCAUGAUUCCCGACCAUAUCACCAUGUUCAACCCCUUGAUCCAAUUGUUCUGACUCGCCUUCUUGGGAGGCUAGGGUCUCAUCAAAUUCCUGGUCAGGCUGAGCAUGUGUGUUUACUGUCGCCUUCUUCCUACGCUGAUAAACCAGGAGAGGAGGAAUUUGGCUGGUGUUUUCUGUGGAAGAGGGGUGGACGGGUUGGACUACCUUAGGAGGCUCUAGAACAAUUUGAGAUUCGAGAGUAAUAAUACUCCCAAUGGAGGACUCAACAAUAGGAUUUUCCCCCUGAGGCGGACAAUGGGAGUAGAAAGGAUGAUUUUCAAAGAACGUGACAUUUUUUGAGUGAUAGACUUUGUGGUUGCUUGGAGAGUAACACUUGUAACCACUAUGAUGAGAAGAAUAUCCAAGAAAAACACAUUUGACUGCUCUAGGAUCAAGUUUAGUACGAAGAGAUGAAUCUAGAUGGACGAACACUGUACAGCCAAAUAUUUUAAGAGGGAGGUCAGACGAUAGAGCAUGACUAUGAGGGAAAAUUUUGAGAAGAACACUACGAGGAGUUUUAAACCGUAGGGUUUGAUUUGGGAGGCGGUUGAUAAGAUAAGUGGCUGUGAGUACAGCGUCACCCCACAAGUUCUUUGGAGCCUUGGCAGCAAACAGUGAUGCCCUUGCAACCUCCAGCAGGUGUCGGUUUUUGCGUUCAGCAAUCCCGUUCUGCUGAGGAGUGUAAGGGCAAGAGCUACUGUGAGCUAUGCCGUUGGCAGCUAGGAAAGAACUUAAGAAUUGAUUGAAAUAAUCCUUUACAUUAUCAGUGCGAAGAACUCGAAUAGGAGUUUGAAACUGAGUUUUGACCUGAUUUAGGAAAUUCUAAAAAAUAUCUUUAGUUCCAGUCUUUAAUUUCAUGAGGUACGUCCAUGUUAAACGGGUAUGGUCAUCAAUAAAGGUGAUGAACCAUCGAAACCCACUGACUAUUUUUACAGAACACGGACCCCAAAUGUCGCUGUGAAUGAUGGAAAAAGGAUGUGUUGGUUUAUAUGGUAGGCUAUGGUAGACAACUCUAGUUUGUUUUGCAAGUUGACAGACCUCACAAUAGAAAGAACUCGGACUUUUAUUGAUAAACAGUUUAGGAAACAGUUUUUUAAGAUAAGAGAAACUAGAGUGGCCUAACCGGUAGUGCCACAUCAUGACAGGACAGUCUAACUGGGUUGACCUAGAACUUAGAUGCACUGAAUUUGAACCCUCUCCCCCUGGCCUUAAUCCGCUUGUUGUACUCAGAAGGAACAGUCCGUCACACAACUCAAACCUGCCAAUCAUCCUCUGAGAUCCCACCACCUGCAAUACACAUUGUGAUGGAUCACAGGUUAGUCGGCAGUUAAGGUCUUGUGAGAUCUGACUAACAGAAAUUAGGUUACAAUUCAGUUUAGGAACAUAUAGGACAGGGAACACAGCCUGAUUUGGAGUCAGGUAGGCUGUCCCAAUCCCUUCGACUGGAGCAAUUGUUCCAUCAGCGAUACGGACUCCUGCUUUCCCUAUGUGAGCCUGGAUAUUGUGGAGCAGCUGUCUAGAACCAGUCAUGUGUUCAGUAGCACCAGAAUCCAAUAUCCAGUGUUGUUUGAAAUGGUUUUGAGUAAGGAAAGCAAUGGAUCUAAUACCUUGGCUAGCAAACAGGCUGUGGUGAGUUUUAGAGGGACUUGCGGGUUCCUUCCUAGCAGUGUAUUGAGCCAUCAUCUGCUGGAGGAUCUCCAUCUGUUCUCUGGUGAUCUGACCAAACUGUUGUGCUUGGUCAGUUGCAGCAGCCUGAGCAUACGCCUCCCUUUCUGCCUUAGGUUUCCAGUCCGCAGGCUUCCUAUGUAGCUUCCAGCCUGUUUCCUUCGUGUGCCCUAUCUUGUUACAGUGAGUACACUGAGGACGGAGCUUUCCAGACUUGGUGUACGCACUUCCUUGAUUUCCAGUGUACUGAGUGGCAAGGGCAGAACCUUCCACUGGGAUAUUCUUAGAAUCAGGGAUCAUGAGCUUUCUCCUGCUCUCUUCCUACUUGAUUUCAGCAAACGCUUCCCUGACUGACGGAAGAGGGAGACGGCCCAUGAUCCUCCCCUUUACCUCAUCAAGGGCCUGAUUUAGACAAAGGAGGAAACGGAUUGUCCGUUUGGUCUGGAGGAUUUGGCGAUACAGCUCUGCAUCUUCUGUACACUUCCACAGGUGGACGUCGUACAGAUCUUGGUGCAGCCAGCACUUGCUCAGUUCGUCAUAGUACUGAGUAACUGACUUUUCCCCUUGUUUGAGAUCAUGGAGACGCAUCUCCACUUCAAAGGCUUCAGCCUUGUUAGCCUGAUUGGAGUGUGUGUGUCUGGCUCCAUCCCAAAUCUCAUGAGCAGUUUGGUGAAGUAGGAACUUUUCACCAAUGGACGUGGUCAUUGAAUUUAGGAGCCACGACUGGACCAUAUUGUCCUCAAUAUCCCAGUUGACAAAUUCUGGGUCAUCCUCUACUGGCUUCUUUGUCUUUCCGGUCAGGUAUCCCCUUUUUCCCUUUCCUGAGAUGAAUUUCAGCACGGAUGACGACCACUGUAGGUAGUUGUCUCCGUUUAGACUGUGAUUUGUGAUGCAGCCUAGGACAGAUUCUGAUAGGACUGCUGGAGUUGUGCGCUUCAGUGAUGGAUCCUCUGAAGUCACGGAUGGUGACUGUGGAGGGGAGCUGCCAGUCCGAGGAGUUUCGGCGUUGGUGUUGACCAUGAUUGGAGGAUGCGAAAUAGAGAAGGAGAUAGGAGUAUAGGAAGAGGAAGAACGGGGCUUAGAUCUAGAUCUAAUGGAUAAACCCUCGCUCUGAUACCAUGUAGAAAUCCAGAAUAAUGAUGAUUCUGGUAUGUUGUUAUUUCUGUAUGAUUGAUUAUACAUAUAUAUACAAGGUCUGCACCAUUAGGGUGCAGAAUCACCUUAUUGUAAUCCCUACAAAUCAGGGAUUACACUACCUACUACUUACUAUUAUUAUUCUGCAUAGAUUAGGCUAGAAGGAUCAAAUAAGACAGCUAACCUACUCUGAUUUCUACGCCUAAUCAUGAUCUAAUUAUUGCUGUAAUUCAACACCUACCUACAACGUUUUACCAUUAUUAGUUGAUGAUAUUAUCAGGAGUUUCUGGUAGCAUAAAUGAGAUAAAAAAGGAGCUGAAGAAGAUAAAAGAUGAAAAGAUAAGCUGGAAGGUAAAUUUCUUUGACUGUUUGACACCGGUGGUUAUUCUGUUACUCUAGCUAAGAAUUACAAUUUCAGACGUUAGAAGACAAACAUGAGAGUAUACUCCAGGAUCAAGCCAAGGAACUGGAGCAGCUUCUGAGUAACAGGAAUGUGCUUCUUGCCAAGCAAGAGGAAUUCUCGAACAAAAUUAGGGAACUGGGUCCCCUUUCAUCAGAUGCUUUUGAUAUGUAAGACUUCACUGUCGAACUUUCUUUUAUCCCGUUUCAUGUGGCACAACAAAUUAUACGGAUUUUUUGUUUUACAUCCUUUUUGGCGUUUUCUUUGUUGACAAGUAGCGAAUAACAGCUAUUUAUGCUUAACAUGAUACAUUGCUCUCGAGCUGAAUUGUGUCUGCUACGGGUAUUGUAUCUUCCGUUUGAUUGACCUGCUCCUUGCCAUAUUAUAUAAUUUAGGCACAAGCGAAAGAACAUCAAAGAGUUGCAGAAACUGCUCCAUAAGUGCAAUGAGGAACUACAAAAGUUUAGUCAUGUAAACAAGAAGGCACUAGAUCAGUAUAUAAAUUUCUGGGAGCAACGAGAAGAACUCCAGAAAAGGCAAGCUGAACUUGAUGAAGGUGAUGAGGUAAUAUAUUGCUUAAAAAGAAUUAUGAUUUAAGAUACGUGGAGCCUUCACUUGUUAGUUGACAAUGUGUACUAUGGUUAACUCCUAAUAUUGUUUCAGAAAAUCAAGGAGCUUAUAACAGUUCUAGACCAGCGAAAGGAUGAAUCUAUUGAGCGUACCUUCAAAGGUGUUGCCAGACAUUUUAGAGAAGUUUUUUCUGAACUUGUACAAGGGGGUCAUGGCCAUCUGGUUAUGAUGAAGAAGAAGGUUGUGUGGAUGAUUUUCGUUUCUUCUCCCUUUACAUUUAUUUUCCCCCCUUUUGUUUUGGUUAAGUGGAGCCGGGUAUGAAUUGCUGGUUUUUUUAGAAUGUGGUAAGACGGUCGUAUGAGAUUGCUGUCAGUGGUUUACCAGGAGUCUCUUGAAUCUGGACUUUAUUCUUCUGGAUUGCUUCAGUGAACCACUUCACAAUUUGAUUUCCUAUCAUAUUAAGCCCCACAUUCUUUUGCGAAGACCUAUGGACGCUAGGAAUCUUUAUUCAUACUAUUAAUGCCUUGUUUUGUAUAUAUUUGUCCGUAGUGGCUUGCUUCAUUAUUUUGCAGUUCCAUCUAAUCUUGAGUGAUUUUGCAGUUGUAAUUGGUAGAGGUUAAACACACUUGUUUUUUAGCGACUAUAACUUGCUUCUAGGUCUCUUAUAUAUCAAUCUGAUUCAUAUAGGAUGGUGAUCAAGGGGAUGGUGACAAUGAGGAUGAUGAACCUCGCCAAGCCGAUGUGGAAGGAAGGGUGGAAAAAUACAUUGGCGUGAAAGUAAAGGUAGUGGCCAAUGUCUUUCUGGGUUGUGUUAUGCUGGAUCUGACUUUAAUAUUUAUAGUGAUUCUGAAGAUGUGAAGAGUUGUAACAUGGUUUAUAUUGUAUAUCCAUAGGUGUCAUUUUCAGGGCAAGGGGAAACACAGUCAAUGAAGCAGCUGUCGGGGGGCCAGAAAACUGUAGUUGCAAUGACUUUGAUAUUUGCUAUACAACGAUGCGAUCCUGCUCCUUUCUAUCUUUUCGAUGAAAUUGAUGCGGCACUGGAUCCUCAGUAUAGAACAGCUGUUGGGAGUAUCCUUUGGGCCCUUUCUAUAUAUAUAUAUAUAUGUUUUUUUCUUCUACUGCUACUUGGUAUGUUUAAUUGAAGAAAAAGAGUUUGGAUCCUUAAUGAGUUUGAAUUAGAUAUGAUACGUCGGCUGGCAGACAUGGCAAAUACGCAAUUCAUAACAACAACAUUCAGGGCGGAGCUGGUGAAAGUAGCGGACAAGAUAUACGGAGUGACACAUAAGAACAGGGUGAGCUUGGUGGAUGUUGUGUCCAAGGAUGAGGCCUUGAAGUUCAUUGAGAAUGACCAGUCCCACAAUGCUGUCUGAUUCAGAUUCUGUGAAGUAAGUUUUUAUCUAGAGAAGAUAAGUAAUUAACACAGGAAAUAGCCUUUUGUUUGUUUGUUUUUGUGCUGGUGGUGCUGUGCUGGUAGUAGAGACCAGUAAGUAAACAUAAUGACUUGAAUUUCGGACUUUGUUAGCCAAGACUGGUUGCCUCGAUGUUGAAUUACUAUGUUAGUAUCCAUUUAUUCAUGUUCAUCUUUGUAUUUAUAAUAGAAAAAUGUUGGCUUCCUACUGCCUUGGUUGCUUAGCCUCGAUAUUUUAUUUAAUUUUAUUUUCCCAAGGAAGCUUUUGGGUAUUGCAUUAUUGCUAAAGAGCUCAGACAGGAUUCCGGCGGUGGAGUUGUCCAAGUUUCCUUGUCCGGUGAAUAUAAUUAGGGCAGUGACAGAUUCAAUUUGAUGGUCACCAUAAAACUCUAUAGACAUGGAGCAGUCAUUCAAUAUAUUUUAAGAUCAUAUUUGGUCAUUAUAGUAUCAAAUCAAAUGAGUUCAUAUUUGUAGCUCAAUUAAGUGUGUAUUUAUUAUUUAGACCCAACUAACUUUGUGAGAUAUUUCAGUUCGGUUAAUACAUACCUUUUUCUUUUUUGUUUAGUGACCGGCUUCAGUACAAUGACCAUUUAAAUUCUUAACCCAUAAAUUUAACCAAACUAUUAGAUCAUAGAUAAACUUGAUAUUCCAACUGCAUGCAUAUAUUAAAUAGUCGAUCAUAAUAAUUUUAUUAUUCCAUACCGAUCGAGUUUGUGAAUGGUUACAAGUGCGGAGUGGGCAUUCUAGGAUGUAAGAGGGUGAGUGUUGAGGCCAAAGCCGAAAGGGAAAAGUGGGUCAUAAUGUGAAUCACCCACAUUCAUAGGAAGUUGGUCAACCGACUUAAACCACAUCCUCGCAAGCUUGCCCGUGAAUCCGAAGUCCCCAAACAAGAGGUCAGUGACGCCUUGGCCUUCACUUCCUGGAAGCCAAGCAGCUACAAGAGCAUCAAUCUUGGAAAGGUAAUGUGGUUGGAUCACUACCGGACGCCCUGUGAUCAAAACGACACUUUUCACAGCUCCACAGACAUUGUUGAUUGUGCUAAGUCCAAGUGCUGGUAUAGUCAGGUUUAAGCUGUCACCGAAUGUCUCUGCAUACGGAAGCUCACCAACCACCACAAUGGCGUAGGAGAAGUUGUUCGACUUUAUGAAAUUAGCAUUUGGUUUCUCCUUGUAUACAACUUGAGUAGAGGGAUCAACUGCAAUUUUCACUGCUUUCAGGAUUGUAGUACCUGCAUAUAAUACAAUAAUGGAUUGAAACCAAACAAAAUUAGGAGUGAAAGUCGAAUAUAUAUGCACUUUAUAAGGGUAGUUACUCUUUCAAAAAUAAUAUAAAUAGUCAUCUUGUAUCAAUACAAGAUGAAACAUUUAAAUAAUCAUAAACACGUACUAAUGUCAGAAGCUGUCCCUCAUAUAUAUUCAAAACAAAUGUUAGAAGCAAGUUCCAAAUCACACAAUCACACGAUUCUCUUUAACUUUAGUUUGGCCACAGUAACACCAAAUAUCAAUCAAUGCUCGUCCCUGAUAACCUGUAAACAUCAGGUGGAUGGCUCGGGGCCAGUCCUCGUAAAACACAAUGAAGAUCACAAUCAUCAAACACAUAAGCAAUAUGACUCAUAAUCUUUCCGUAUUUUAGUCGGGAUCCCUGACUCACGUAUGCUGACGAUUCUCGGCUUUUACAUAUCAUUGAUGGCACAAUUCAUGCCCAUUUCACUUAUCAUUGGUUGCACCAUCAAGGGCCCAUUAUUCGCACCCAUUCGGGGCCAUGUACACGUAGUAGUAGUGCCAUAUGCAUACACGUAGAUCGCCAACAUACAUGGCGUAAUCUAGGUGAUCAAACAAUUCUAAUUAUUAUACCAUUAACAUAUACUUGUGACCAGAAGAACAAUGAUCGAAUAACAAAUCAUAAAACAUAUAUCAUACCAAUCAGGUACACCACCACAUUUAUCACAAUCAAUGGUCAAUUAAUCAUGUACAUUUGACAUUGUCAUGUUGUCAGUAUUUAUCACAUAUUCCAUUAACUGAUUACGCAUAUCAAAGAAGCGUAAUUGUCAUUUCAAACAUUAAGUUAAUUAUUAAAAUGGAAUUAACCCCUUAAACCAGCCCACCUUAGGUGAAUCACUUCCAGUUUGAAAUAUAUGUCCACAGUCCAAGAAUCAGUCAAUUAUACUCUUUCGUAACUGUCCGGGCUAAACUGUAAAGACUGAGAAGUAUUUGGGCCACGACUGUCCUGUCCGUAUUUAAAAGUUAUGAGUCACACGGGAAAUUACAAAAAAAUAAGGAUUAAAUUGGAGAAUAAAUCUUAAGGGACUAAAAUAGAGUUUACCAUCAUCUUCUGCCCACUUACAGGGAUAACUUCUUGAUGGACGUGUGAUAUUUCGGUGAGCUCUAAUAGUCAUGGGUUUGGCCUGGAAUUGGAAACUAAGGACAUAUAUAGCUUCCUAGACCCGUCACGAAUCUAAUGAGAUCGUUAAGAAGCAUGGGCUCGUUUGAAGCAAUUCAACGCAACUCCCAUCAGAAGUGUAAUCCGAGAAAAUGAAGAGUUAGUUUGGAGUGUUCGUUGGGAUAAUUCAGAAAACUAUUCCUUACCUUUUGAAAUGAAGAAAUGAUCGCCAAAAUAACCGCGAAGUUAUCAAGACAACACAAGUUUCGUAUAUGUCUAAGGAUUACUCUUAUUAUGCUUUUAUUCAAACUCGUCAACACGGUCUAGACUGAAAGAAUUGAUUUUGGUUUCUAAUUAUUCCAGUAGCUCAAUUAAAACUAGCAAUUUAGGUUUGAACAGAAGGAGAAGACUAGUUCUUGGAAGGGAUGAUUCAUCAAACUCAGCUUCCUAAUAGUAGUCAGAUCAAGCAAAUGUUGGACUUGGAUUGAAUGAUAUCAAUCCUUUUAUCACUCGUAUGAAUCUGUGGCACGAUCAUGCACGCGGAUUACCACUAUUAGCUUCCCAAUCAAGGUUGGAAUAACCUCAAUUAGGUUAAUCGAUAAUGAACACCGAGAAGUUCUACAAAGUGAUAAGGUGCUCUUUAUGAAUGAAAGGAAAUCAAAAGAAAUUGGAAUUAGCGGUAACUUGGUUCGUCAGCACCUAAACUACUGAUAACUACACCCAACUUGGUCCAUUAGGUGCAAACUAGAACGCCCGCCAAUUAUUUGAUAAACAACCGAUAAAACCAAAGGUAGAAUCGAGCUAUCCGCUUACCCCAACAAUAACUUUCUUCUAUCUUAUAUUGUUAAUCAUAUGAGUUCCUAAGUCGAUCAAACAAAAGAUUUCAUAGAUUUGACCUAAUUCAAGUCCUAACAAGAACUAUUUUGAAAACCCAAUUCAUACAUCCCAUCCAAGGAACUCUAAAGAAUUAGCUACUCAUAACUUUAGAAGAAGAGAAAAUAGAAAAAGACCUAACCACAAUAUUGAUGAAGAGAUAAUGACUUGAUCUCGAUCCAAUCUUUGCUUUUGAUCUUCUAGCUUCAAUCUUCAAUGGGGACUCCUUUGCAUCUUCAAUUGGACUUCUAGGGAUGGAGAUAUGGUGUUUUUGCAGGAGAGGUCGUGAAAAAAUUGAAGGAAUUCGUUCUGGGGAAGUCUAAUUCUCUUUUCUCGAAAUCAGCCUUUUAUAGGGAAACUGCUGAUUCUAUGAGGUGCACGUCGUAGAGGGUACACGUCCUACACCCACUUUGCUGAAAAAACGUUCGUUCCAAAAAUGGCUGCACGCCGUGCAUGGGUGCACGGCGUGCAGCUCUUCUGCUUCCCCAUUUCUUAUUUUAUUCUUCCGUCCGAACUCCAAUCUUGCUCUAUUCCGUAUCCAAAGACUCGUAACCUGACCCACUAUCUCUAGAGUACAUGUGGAUAAAAAAUACUAUAAAGAAACACAUCAAAUGGACCACAACGGUCCAAGUGAACGGGUCUAGACACAUAAUGCCAAAAGACGAACAAGUUAGUAACCAUCAAAAAGCAUGCAUAUAGGGAUAGAUAAUCACUACAAAUUCUAGCACUAUCAAAUCCCCCACACUUGAAUCUUGCCUGUCCUCAAGCAACUUUACUAUUCGCACUUUAAGCAAACUCUAAAACAACAUGCUAGCAGUUCAAGUCUACUUGAUGAUGCCAAGAACACAUUCUAGAUCAUUCAACAACACAGUUUCAUUUACAGUCCUCCAAUCCAAAUAAAGAUCAAACCUAUGCAUAUAGUUAACACCACUCAACGCCCAUUGACAAAAAUAUUUCCCCUAUCACUUACGAUCAAAAUAGAUGGUCCUGACUGGGUAUUUUUUUCGUCCUAAGGGAGGGAGUGCUUACUUUUAUAAUUUCUCCAAAUCAGAGCUCUCCCCCCUUUCUUUUACAAUUUUCCUAUACAUGAUAUGCUAAACACUAUGGAUCAAUUGAAUUUCUCAAUUAAUUACAAACCCAUCUUUCAAAAUUUUGUAUAGCUUUGGAGGGUAUCUUUCCAAGUGAGGGUAACUGCGACUCUGAUCGGGCUAAGGUUCUCAUCCACAUAGAUCAAAUUCACUCAAAAAAACCCCGACCCAAAACUAGGAAGAGGUGAGAAGAGAAGCUUGAAGGGAAUAACUUGCAGGCGGCAGAUUCAAGUUCGCUAGUGUGUUGAAUCGCAACCAAUCCCCCACGAUCAUUUGGGAACAUUGACCUCUUUUGCACCUUAUUCAGACCAUAUAGUCACAUAUGACUUUAAACAACUUGAGUGACUCGAUAGGGGAAUUAAUUGUUCAUAAAGUCGGUAGACAUCAAGUGUGCAUUGCAACUAAUCAAGUGAAAGUUUCAUUUUAAUAAACAACCAACAAGUCAAUGAAAUAAGCCUCCGAAAUCAACUAAAAUUUGCUGGACGAAGUGCUAGCAAAGAAACCUAUAGCCAUCUUUUAUCAUUUUGCACAAAGGACCUAAAGAACUACGAAACUCAUGGUGUAAUCAGAUUAAAAUACGGAUUUUUCGACUAAAUAAUGUUGCUGAAAUUUCUUGAACAAUAGGAAAAAGGUCAAGUUUUUCAGAAAGAAUUUUUUAAAAACACUUAUACUACUACUACGAUUUAAAAAAAAAAUCUAAUCACGUUCUCAUUUUAACCAACUCAUCAACAAACAAAAACCUUCACUUUCUUUUACAAAUUUUAAACAAGUAGAGCCUGGCUGUUUUACCCCCCGAAGAUGUUCCUUCCCUUUCCUUUCGAUUUUUCAGAGUGAGUUGAUUCCACCGGUUUUCGAAGGACUAAAAAGAAAUAAAAAAUUAUUGGUUAGUUUCGGANNNNNNNNAUAAAAAAUUAUUGUUUAGUUUCGGACAAAAUAGAGAUUAACAAAAAAAAUAAAGAGCAGAUUAUAAACCUUCAUCUUUGCCUCUGUCUCGCUGCCGUCGGGACGUCUUCCUCUCCACCGAUUCCCCAUAAAAAAGUACCAACAACAACAUAACAAAAUAAAACCAUAAGAAUAAAACAAAAUAUAAACACUUUCAAACCCUAAACCUGGAGAUCGGGGCUUGCAUAUCAUUGGAGAUACCGGAGCGUCCUUCUAUGACAUGCAAGCCUGGACAAGAGAGAAAGGAGAGGAGAGGAAGAAAAGGGAAAAAAGGAAAAAACGGGGCGGCUGCCGCCGCCGCAGCCGAGAGGUAGAGAAGAAAGGAGAGGAAGAGGAGAAGUAGAGGAAGAGAAGAAGAAAAAAAAAGAAAAAAAGAGGAAGAGCCAUGACGGCGGAGGCGACAAUCGAGAGGAAGAAGAAGAGAAAAGAGGAGGAGAUUUGGAGAGAGGGGAGAGAUUUUAGGGAGAAGGCAGAGAUAAUUGAGAGGGGAGAGGAGAGGAGAGAGAGUGAGGCGCUGUAAAAUGGUCGAUUUUAAGUGAAAAUGGUCCUUUUAUACGGUCAGUUAGUGUUAGAGUGAAAUGACUGAACUGCCCCCUGCCUCCCAUCUUCAGCGCGCAAAACUUCAGGACAAUUUUGUCUUUUCAUUUUUUCGGUCGAACCGCGGGGAAUCGGUUUGACUAGUCGAACGCACGGGCUGUCCUCUUCUCACCCGCCGGGUCAGGCCCGUCACUCGGUUGGGCCCAACUUAAGUUUGGGCCCAUUGACUCACAAAGGCCAAGCCUUUUGCAAUUAAAUAUAUUCGCGUCUGAUUAAAGCCUUAUUAAGAGCGAAAUAAAAUCGAAAUAAGAGUGAAAUAACAGCAUAAUAAAGCUCCUAAGUUAUUCGAUGUUUUUAUCUUAACGUUGUAAGCUUAAAAAAAACUCGAAACUUUACAUUUGUUCGAAUCAAUACUGUAUUUUGAUUAACAUUAAUAUAACGACAAUAGAACUACCAAAUCAUACAAAAUAUUUGUGGCAUAUUUAUGUAAAUAAAGGUUUGUUUCCCGCCCUGCAAUGUGUUUUUAAUUAUGUCAAAUCAAGUUAAUAUAAAUGAUUUAAUUUUUCAUUUGAAAAAUAAUGUGAAAAUUUCUUAAGAAUAAACGUUUAAAAAUAUUAUAGCAACGUUUUAUAAAUUUUGUACUAUAGACAAGAGUUUUGGAUUUUGCUAAAUUAUUAAUUAAUCCAAAGUAGAAUGAGUAAGUGCCCAAAUUGCAUGUCAUUAUAAAUUUUUAUUACUCCUAUUAACAUUAUAAAUAAUAAUAGUCCGAUUACGAAUCAAGAGGUUCGUAAGUAAAUAUAUUAAAAUGUGUAUUUCUCCUCAGCAUGCCACCACCUUCGGUUUCGGAAUACCGAAAUACGAGGGUUUUCGUUCUAAAAUUUUUGCCAUCAAAAUAAUUAAAUAAAUAUAUUGUAAAUAAAAAAUGAACAUGAUAAUGUAAUUUUUACAAUAGUAAAUAUUACGCAAAAUCCUUAGAAUUUUCCACAAAAGUGAGAAUUCAUAAAUCCAAACAAUUAAAUAAAACAUACUUAACUAAAAAUAUUUAUCAAACAUAAAACGAAUUUUUCACAAAAGUGGGAAUUUGUAAAUCCAAAAAAUUAAAUAAAAAAUACGUAACUAAAAAUAUUUAUCAACAUAAAUCAAAAUUUCCAGAAAAGUGGGAUUUUGAAAAUCCAAACAAUUUAAUAAAAAUAUCCAACUAAAAAUAUUCAUCAACAUAGAAUGAAAUUUCCGCAAAAGUGGGAAUUUUACAAAGACCAAUAAUUAAAUAAAAAUACUCACCAAAAUUACAUAACCUUCCACAUUGAAACUAAAAUAUAAUUAAGCAAUUAAAACAAACCAAAGAAAACAUAACUUAUCGAAUUUCGUAGUACCGGUUUACCGGGCGUUGCAGGGGGCGCUAAUCCUUCCCCGCACGUAACUGCCUCCCGAAUCCAAGAUCUCCGUUUCGCAGACUUGAUCUAACUCGCGUCCAAAAGGACCUGUGUAGGUUGAAAAAUAUCCUCUGCCUCGUAUUGAUAAUAUGUUAUAUUAGCUUUAGGGAGACGCAGUUCUCUAUGAUUGGUUUGAGGUUGGGGCAUUAUCAGUUAAAGGUAGUGGAGGAAGAUGUACCUAAGACAACGUUUCGAACCAGGCAUGGUCACUAUGAGAUGUUAGUGAUGCCAUUCAGGUUAACCAAUGCCCAUGCAUGAACAAGGUGUUUCAUGGAUAUCUAGACAAAAUUGUCAUAGUAUUUAGUGAUGUCUACUCCAAGACAGAGGAAGAGCAUGUAGAGCACCUGAGCGGAGUUUUGGCUACCUUCACGAGGGAGCGAUUGUAUGACAAAUUCUCUAUGUGCAACAUCUAGCUAAGUGAGGUGUUAUUUUUAGGACAUCUGAUCAGUGGACAGGGCAUCGAGGUGGAUCCGAAAAAGGUGGAGGUGAUAGUGAAUUGGUCACCGCCGAGGAGCUUGACCAAAGUGAGGACUUUUCUGGGUAUGGCAGGGUACUACAGGAAUUUUGUGGAGGGGUCCUCAAAGAUAGCAAGGCCACUCCAUAAGCUGACCAAGAAGGACACGACAUUUGUGCGGAGCAAGACCUGUCACGAGAGUGUUGAGGAGCUGAAGAAGUGGCUCACCAUCGCACCAGUACUUACCUUACCGGUUGAUGUGGGUAAGUAUGUGAUUUACAGUGAUGCCUUGUGUUCGGGGUUAGGCUGCAUUCUGAUGCAAGAUGGCAUAGUGGUGGCUUAUGCACUCCACCUGUUAAAGGUGGAUGAAAUGAAUUAUCCAGUCCACAGCUUUGAGCUAGCAGCAGCGGUCUAUGUACUAAAUCUGUGGAGAAACUCCUUGUAUGGCGAGACAUUAGGAUCAAGACUAAUCACAAGAGUCUCAAACACUUGUUGGAGCAGAAUAAGCUGAACAGCGGGCACAAGCAUUGGGUAGAGCUGCUUAAGGACUACGACUACAUAGACUAUCACCCAGAGAAGGCCAAUAUAGUCGCUGAUGCCUUGAGUAGGGAGGAAAGAUUGACUGAGCUGGUCGAGAUGAGAAGCAUGGGUACCAAGUUGGAGCUCAAUCCAGUCAGGGGGUUACUGGCAAGGUUGGUGGUUUAGCCUUUAUUGAUAGAUCAAAUUUUUGAGGCUCAUGCGUUAGAUGAGUUGCUAUUGGAGGCUCAACAGCGGGUGCCAACCGGCAAGGUUACGCCCUACACCUGGAAAGAAGGCAUGAUGCUUUUCCAGGAAAGCGUGUAUGUUUCUCUGGGUCCAAACUGAGGGAGGAUAUUUUGGAUGUGGCGCAUUCAUUUGCUUAUGCUAUGCAACCAAGAGAGAUGAAGAUGCACAGAAUACUUUAUCCUCACUACUAGUGGCCUAGCAUGAAGAAGCAGGGGAUACAUCAUAUGGCCAGCUAUGUGGCGUGCCAGAAGGCGAAGUUUGAUCAUCAGGCUUUAGGAGGGUUGCUUCAUCCCCUACCAAUCCUAGUGUGGAAGUUUGAGGAUAUCCCUAUGUACUUCGUCAGUGGCCUUCCCUUGGUGAAAGAUGCGGUUUGAGUCAUAGUGGACGAUUAUAUCAGAUCGUGACCCAGUUUCACCUGGUAUUUCUAAAACGACUUACCUGCUACCUUGAGGACGAAGCUAAAUUUCUCUACAACUUAUUACCCCAAACAGAUGUUCAGUUAGAGCUGACCAUUCUAACCUUGAAGGAUCUGCUUCGCUCGUGUGUUCUAGAGUUUGCUGAACCUUGGUUGAAGGUCUUACCGAUGACAGAGUUUGCUUAUAUGAACAUCUUCCUCCGCUACCUUCAACUGAUGAUGCCCCAACCUCAAACCAAUCAUAGAGAACUGCGUCUCCCUAAAGCUAAUAAAACAUAUUAUCAAUACGAGGCAGAGGAUAUCUGUUCUUGAAAAUCACAUGGUUCACCCUCCUAUAGUCUAUGCACAUCCGCAUAGAUCCAUCCUUCUUCUUCACAAACAGCAUUGGUGCACCCCAAGGUAACACACUAGAGCGGAUUAAAUCCUUCUCUAACAUCUCCUGCCACAGCUCCUUGAGCGCCUUCAACUGAACCAGCAUCAUGCGGUAGAGCGCUAUGGAUAUAGGUGUUGUGCCCGACACCAUCUCUACAUUGAAAGCCACAUCUCACUUAAAAGGCACCUCCGGUAAGUCAGCUGAAAAACAUCAAGGAACUCCUGAACUGCUGGUACAUCCUCAAUCUGUUGCCCUACAUCUAGGAGGAUUUGAUCUAGGAAAGCCUCACAUCUACUUUUGAUCAGCCUUUCCGCCUUUAAGGAAAAAUGAAAGGACGCGUGUGGUGCAUCUAUCUCUAAGUCCCCGUUAUGAAUACUCCAUCCUUUUUAGAUGUAGAGAACCUGAUUGACUUCUUACAAUCCACCAUGGCCCCAUGGUGCUCCAGCCAAUCCAUCCCCAAAAUCACAUCAAACUCAUUAAAAGGAAAAACGAUGAAGUUUGGUGUAAACUCCGUAUCCUCAAAGAGCAGACUUGUACAGUAUAUCACACACUACUGUAUAGUCCCGAGAACCCAACAUUGUAUUCCUGACAACCUAAAUACAAUUCUCUUACAGUAGAAAAGCAUUCUCUAAAUCCCCACCUCUGAAGAGCUUUCAUUGGUAGAGUCUGAUCUAAAGCAGCCUCUCUGGAGCUCAAUCUUUUGAUUCAUAUGACAUGUAGAGAUCAAUCGUAGGAUUGAAAAGCCAAAUUCCCAAAUCCUAAUCUGUCUGGAUUUUCCUACGUAGGAUUCAAAUCAAGGAUUAUGAAGGGAGGAAGAAGAUAGAUUGCCUUCUGAAGCUCCCUCAAUGAUCUCAAAGCCCCUCCAAGUGAUCUGGGAUCAAUCAACUUGACCUUUUCUUCCUCUUGAAAUCGAUCGACGUUCGUCAGUGAGAAGUUUCAAUUAGGUUUCUAUAAAUUUUGAGUUGGAAGUCGCGACUCUACUAUUAUAAAUAGUCCACCAUGCCCGUGAAAACCUGGAAACCAUGCAAGUGACCUACUAAUGGUCAUGGCCUUGACUCCCUGAUGGUCACGCUCAUGACAGACUUUUGAACAUGAUCGUGGUAUGUCUGUCAACCACGUCUGUGAUUGAUUGGCUUUCACACCCGUGACUGUCCAUUGAUUAGCAAAUUUUUCUUGAACUCACAGAACAUCUGUUAAAAGCCAGAGUGGAACAAAAACCCAAAAUUGAGGUGUCACACCAUCGAUCUAGACUUAAUAUUAAGAGAUUCGAGUUAAAGAUGAAGCCGAAAGCAUCUCACUCACGCGUUUAGGGAUAGUGUCUAUGCGCUCAUUAUGAACUCUAGAGGUCUUUCAUUCGGGGUUGUAAUGUGGACAGAAUUGAAAAGAGAAGGUGAAAUGACUUUGGUGGUAAUUACACAUAAGUGGCGGACAACUCAGUCUACUCUAAUAUGGAACUAAGGUACUAAAACAAUACAAACUAUGCAAGGAUUCAAAAUUUCUUCAAGAUCUUCAAGCUAGCUUGUCUAUCCCUUAUGUUAACUAUUACAUCAAGCUAUUCUACUUGUUCAUUCUAACUAACUCUUCAUUUUUUAUUCUUUUAUUUUUCUUAUCUUGAGACUGGGUUUUUUUGUUCAUGCCACACUUGAUGUGGAAUUUGCAACAUUAGGCUUGGUGUAAGCGGGAAGAGUUCGGGUUACCAUUAUUUUAGAAAGAUGAGAAGUGUAGUUGUGAUCCGAGUCUGGUUCCGAAUAUUCUUCGUACCACGGUUCUUCUUCAUUUCCCACUAAACCUCGUAGAGAUUCUGCAACCGCUUCUUCUUCGUCUGACCCCGAGUGUUGAUGAGAGUUUUGAUUCGAUUUGGAUCGUGUCAAUAUUGAUGACGUGCAACAAAAUCUCACCAGCACAAAGAAAAAAAAUAAAAACGGCAAAAAGUAACUGUAGAAGAAAAAAUUUAAAGCAGAAUUGUAUGACUAAACCUAAACAAACUACUUUCAUAUACAAUAAAGAUAUCCCCGACAAUGGCAUCAAUUUGAUAAAUGAUUUUACUUAUCUCAAAAUAAAUCUAGUUAAUGAACUAACUAAAGACGAAUCUCCCUAGGGUCUCUUUAUGUAUUCUACUCAAUGUUGCAAUAAGUAUUAAUGGUCUAACAGGAGUUGUGGUUUAGGUACCAUGAGAACCAAUCGAUCAAUAAAAAUAAAAUGAAAAUUCAUAUGAAGUAAUGAUUGCAAGACUGCACGAAUAUGAUUUUAAUAAAUCAAGGAUGAAACUUCUUAGACUUUGAAUCCCCUUAGGUAAUCUAAAUUCAUAAAUGGCAGAAAAAUUCAACGAUUUAAACGAAACAAGAUAAAUUCAUUUUACCGUCGAAAUUCUUCUCUAAUCAAAUCACGCCCUUUCGAGUAUGCUGCUUUGUUACCUAUCUAGAAUCAUUCCGCUCUUUCGAGACGAAGAGCUUAAACCCACUAGGCGAUUAAAAAAAUAAGAAUUGCUCACAAGACAAACUAGUUUAUUCACUCCCGCAUGAGGGUUAACGUGUAGAUAUGUAAGCUCUCCCGAGUAUAAGAAAAAUCUAACAAAGAUCCAUUCAAGUUGAUCAGGAAAGAACAUAAACGAAAUCGAAAUCAACAUAUCCUGAACUUUAUCCAACUCGCAUAAAUCAUCAAAUGUAGUCAAAUUAUAUGUUCAUAAGGAUAUAACUAAGGUUCAUCUAAUCUAAGCACAUGAAUUUUAGCACUCAUAAUCGAAGAGAACAAAUUAGAUUCAAAAGAAGAAUAUAUCGAUACUAGGGUUACAAGAAGAAUCUCGAAACAGCUAAUUUCGACGAUCUUUCGUAAGAACUUGAUUCACCAUCUUCAUUAUUGGUCCCAUAAAAGCUCCUUAGUUUCUUUAAACAUGCUCUGAAAACUCAUAAUUAUGCUCUCAAUUUUGAAAUAGAGGAGAGACGACCUUUAAAUAUGAGUUUUAGAUCCUGAAUUCUGUCAGAUUUGUCAAAGAUUGCGCUUAACCAUUGUCUUAAUUAUGCUCUCAUUAUUGCGCCUUUCUUAGGCCCAAUGUUUGACAAGGCUGCGGUGCAAUCUUUAACCAUGAUUUUAAGGGACCGAUGUCACAUAUGGCUCCUAACAUUGUCAAAUAUUGCGCCUUACCCUUGGUUCAUUCCUUCUUGUCUAUGUAUGCCUGUAUUGCUCCAAAUAGUGUCUCAAUAUCAUUUUGUACCUUAUAUCUCUAAAAAAACACCAAAACGACAUCAAAUGGACCCCGACUGGUUCCGAGAUAUUAAAGCGAGAUAGAAUUUAGAAAACGCAAAACAUCCUAAACUUCUACCCGAAGCUAUACAGUUAUACAAGAAAUGUUUCUUAAAUGAGGGCGAUGAACGCGGCAAACCGAACAUCAUUGAUAGACUCCACUCUCGGCCUCUACAACAGUGUAGAACUGAAGGUAGACUCCCAGCUCAUCAGGGGAGAUGCUGUGGCACUUCACCCCGCCCACAACCGAAACGAACCUUCGAGGUGGUGAAAAUGUAGCAGCCAAACUCAAGUGUAGCAAAGAACUCCAUAACUACGUGAGGAUAGAUGUUCUUAUUCACCAUAAUCACCUUCCAGAAGUGGUUGGACUGGUAGCAGUAGUUGCAGACUGGGUUUAACCAACUUCUCCUUGAGAAAUACUCGCCUGAGUGAUUGCGGGAAGAUGCUGGAUGGUCUGGUAGAACGUCCAAUAUGCGCAACACUCCGGGCAUGUGAAGCACUUCUCAUGGAGGAGCAGAGGAGGAGGCACUGGUUGGCCGGUAGAGUGUAAGAGGCUGGAACUACAAGCAACAGAUCCGUAACUGGCUGAGCUAAACAACAAAAACCAUCAUUCCUUUAUUCCUCUUGUUAGUCUUGGUAAUCUUAGGUUUUGAAGCCAUCCUGAAAUAUUUAAUAAGUGUGAGCAUCCUAAGGAAUAAUAAGCUAAGGGCACACCAAUAAAUCAUACUACUUAAGAAUUACAUGAUCAAGCUAGCUCACAAGUAGUCAUGGAAAUAUGUAAGGCAGAAGAAUGUGGAAAUCCAAUGAUAGGUACAUAGUCAUUCACAUAGGUAAUUAACUAGCAAUACUAUGCAAAUGCAAUGCUAAGUUCACAACUAAGCAUCAACUACCAUAAUGAAUCAUCAAAAGUGUACCAAUGAGUAAGAUAAGUAUAACAAGUAUGAACAAAGCAUCAAGAAAUCAACUAUGCAACAUUCAAGUUAUAUCAUAGGAGAUACCAAAGGACUAGUAGCAGGUAACAACCCUAAACCAAAAUAAUGAGCACAAUAUGCAUAUUCGAGAGCAAUGGUAUGAUCAAAUUUGAGCAAAAGAGGGAAUAAGGCAUAGUCACAUAUCAAUUCAUCAUUUAGAAGCAUCACAAUCACCUAGCACAACCCUAGGUACAAGAUUCAAAAUCAAACCAAAAAGAUGCAAUUCCAAAGUUUCAUCACAAAAUUUCAAUGUUCAACCAUAUUUGCUUCAAUAUUCAUCCUAAAGGCAAAGCUAGAUAUUAAUUUAGGCAAUAUCAUCCUAUCCUAGCAUUUGCAAUGUUCAACAUCAUCAUCAUCAUCAUUCACCAAUUCACCACAUUUGACCUCAAUUUACCCUAAACCAAAACUAAUUCAACCAUGACCAACAAAUGGAAUUCCCCCAACAGUUAAAGAUUUUCAUCCUUGAAAAUUAAAGAACGACAAAGAUCCUAAGCAAGAGGUUAAAAAUUCAUGACCACAUGCCAUCUAAACCAUCCACAAUUCAAUCCACAACCCAACAAUUUAAACCAAACAAGUUUGCACAACCCUAAUCAUGCACCUAUGAACACUUCAAAUUUACAAGCAAGCACAAUUUGGGGCACAAAUCACUCAAUCGAAUCCCAAAAUCCUAAUCAUGCAUACAAGAACCAAUUGGAGUUCACAAUCAAGUCAAAGUCAAAAGUUUCUAAUCUAGUUUAUGAAUUCGAAGCAAAAAAUUGAAAUCGGAAGAACUUGGCACAAGGUUGGACUCGGGGGGGNNNNNNNNNNNNNNNNNNNNNNNNNNNNNNNNNNNNAACAGAGGAAGGAGGGAGAAAGAGGUUGGUGCGGCGGUGGUCUGGAGGGAGGUGGUAGAGGUUGGGUGAGGGAAGGGUGAAGGGACGGGAGAAGAGGAGCGAUGGUCUAGAGGCGGGGUGUCAAAGGGAUCAACGGAGAAGAGGGAAGGAAAAGAUGAUAGGGGAGGAGGUGGCAACGAGAGGGCUAAGAGUGGAUUUUGGGUGAAUCAGGAAGAGGAAGGUUGAGAUUUGGGAACGAUC
rnacentral:lncRNA from 1 species